UAUAGCUUCAACAGUGCUGAGAACCUUUGUCAACAAAAGAUAAAAUAAAUGUGGCUACUUAAAGGUCAUUUCUGAUUGAUUUGCUUUCCUUUCAGUACAUGCAUUCUCAUAAAGAUGUUCCAGGUUGUUGCCUGUGAUAUCAAGUAACGUUGGCUUGGCAAAUGUCACAGGAACCACAGGAGUAGCCAUGGGUAAAAAUUAAAGGCUAAAAAAGAAGGAAAGUCAUUUGGUUAAUUUCAUUUUGAGCAAGAGAACCACUAAAUGAUAAAAUACACUCUGCAUGUUAUUGCCUCAGAGCCAGAAUAGGACAAUGGGGACACAAUCCAAGUGGGCAGCUGCCUUCUCUUAAUUCACACAAAUGAUUUUUAGUGUGAUUACUUUCUGAAUAUGACAAAUAUUCCCUAUGAUAGAGUUUGAGUUGCAGGACAAAAUAAAGCCUGGGACCUCAUUUAGAAAUACAUGCUUAGAGCAAUUCAAAAUGUGAAUGUGCAACAGUUUCCUAAAACUUUCUUAUUCACAAAAACUGUUCCCACAUGCAUCUCUCCAUAUAAAAUCACAGGUAAAUUCAAGCACAAUGUGAACAAGUGCAUCAACUCCAUCUACAGAAUGCCAGCAAAUAUUCCCUAUGGUUCAAUUUUCAAGAAAAAGCAUUCUCUGAAAACAUACGUCCAACGUGUGUGGGGGCCUAUUUUUAUUUAUUUAUUUUUUUCCCCCAGGUAAUUGUUAAUAAUAUAAAAAAAAAAAAAAAAAUAGAUGAUGAUCUAACUUGCUGGAUGAACCUACCACUUUCCAUUAUAGGUCAAAUUGCAACAGUUAAGUAUACCAAAAGUCCUUUAUCUAUUCAUCACGACCCCUGUACAACCAACUGAGAAAUGGUUCAUUAAAUCAGACAAUAAGCACAUUUCACUGGAAAAAAAUAAGUUUACAAAUACUACAAAAACAAAAUAAAAUAAAACUCAAGGCAGUCUAGCAGCACCAAACACUAUUACUUAGCAUCUCAUCUACAACAUCUUCUCAUAUUAGAUCAAAUGUGACAGUCUCCAAAACCUGUGGCUAGAGUUACAACAGAAUGUAAAGAAAUAACCAUAUCUGAUCUUCCAUUAUUUGUUUUUGAAGAAUAUGAUGAUUAAAACAACUCACACUGCCUAGUGGCAAACCAAUACAUCGACGUGCCAUGAACUUACACCACAUAUCAACUCACCAAUUGUAACGUGUAUAUUCUGUUUUGGUUCUCUUCUGUUUCUGUUCUAUGCUUGUGUAUGUUGACUUAGUUUCUUUGUGUUUGCCAGUUAACCUAAUUAAGUUAUUCAUUUUGUUGAUUGGUUUGGUCUGUUUAUUCAGUUCAGUGUCAGUUCUCGCUGUAAUGUACCCGGUUGUUUUGUUCUUGUUUCAAAGUAAGUGUUGUUUGAGUUCUUUGGUUAAUAAAAACUAUACUGCUGCA